rnacentral:misc_RNA from 1 species
GAUGAAGAACGUAGCGAAAUGCGAUAAGUAAUGUGAAUUGCAGAAUUCAGUGAAUCAUCGAAUCUUUGAACGCACCUUGCACCCUUUGGACUGCUCCAAAGGGUAUGCUCGUUUGAGUGUCAUUGUACUCUCACACUCUCUGAUCCUUUGGAUUUGGGGAGCAGUGGACUUGGGUGCUUGCUGCUUCCUUGUGGCUCACCUGAAAUGCAUCAGUGCAUCUCUCGAUUGGACAUAGUACGGCGUGAUAAGUGUCUUCGCCGGCACCUCAUAUGAGGGUGGCCGAUCGGGAGCUCUGUGCUUUCAAACCGUCCUCGGACAACGCUGACAACUUGACCUCAAAUCGAGUAGGACUACCCGCUGAACUUAAGCAUAUCAAUAAGCGGAGGA